rnacentral:tRNA from 2 species
GGAGAGGUGGCCGAGUGGCUGAAGGCGCGCCCCUGCUAAGGGCGUAUAUGGGGAACCGUAUCGAGGGUUCGAAUCCCUUCCUCUCCGCCA